UUUAUAAGAGAAAAAAAUAAGAGUUAAGGAGAUAUAUAGCACAUCUUUAAUAUCUAGUGAUGGGUUGUUUUGGCAAGCGAAACUCUGAAAAGAAACAAAACCCAUAUCAAACACCUGCCGGAGCAACUAAUCCUCCUCGUCAACCUCAUUAUGGUGGAGCUAGAAAAGGCAAAAGUCACAGCAAACAUAGCCAUGGUGUUGGAGCAGUUACUGCAGGUGUUACUGCUGCAGUCGUUGCAAGUUCAGCCGCUUCUAGUGGUGCUGGUGCUUGUGGUGGAGGUGGUUGCGCCGUUUGAGGCUGUUGAGGGUUGUCUUUGCAACAAUUCAAUUUGUUCUUUAUAUAUUUAUUAAUUACAUAUCAUCUCUUGAGAUUCUAUUAAUUUGUCAUGUUUUUACUUGAAUUUCAGAAAAAAAAUUAUAAAAGAAAAAAAAAAGGAUUGAUUGUAAGAAAUAUAUAUUGUUGUAUAUGUUCUGUGUUUAAUAUAUAUAUAUGUGAUUAUGGAAUUAUUGAUGUAAAUGAUUUAUUAUUAUUAUUAUUAUUAUUAUUAAUUACAACCAAGAUUUUAUAUUGAUAUAGUAAUAAUUUUAUUUUUAGUUAUUAUGACUAAAAUAAAAAGUAUUAGGAGCUCAAUGAUUAUAUAUAAAGGAUAUCAUAGAAUUUUAAAAUAAAAAUCUUAAUAAUUCGGUGGUUUUAAUUCAGAAAUUUAAUUUUUUUUUUUUGAGACUGAAGAAUAUAUUUUAAUCAUAAUGUAAGUAAUAAUAUAAGGAAACAUUUAUAUUUUGAUUAUUUUAAUCUGAAAGUUAAUUCGUUCAUGUCUAGAAAUAGUUUUUUUUACCAGUUUAUUAAGCACAAGAAUUAAAUAUUUAUUUCCAAAAAUUAGAAAUAUACAAGUGUUAAUAUUUACAUAAUUUAAAGACAAAAAAUUAUUUGUAAGUAUAUUUGAGUUUUAUGUAUAAUUAAAAAAAAACUUUGUUUAAAAUAUAUAAAAAAUAGGAUUUUAUUCAUAAUAAUAAAAAUCAGUAUUAUAGAAAAUAUAUGACUAUCUCUUAAACAUCAAACAUGAAAUUAAAAAUUCAUAUAUCAUCAUACUAAAUUUAUAAAUUUAAAUUUAUAUUAUUUAUAAUUAAAUUUUUUUUCAUACAACAGAAUUCAAUGACCAUUUAAAUUCAAGAUAUUUAAUUUUAAAAUGAUUUUAGUAUCAAUGAGUUAAAAACAUUAAUUAUAAUUAUAUAUUUUAUUAAAAAAAUCUUAAUUUAUGUUAAAAUUUACUAGGAAUUCCAAAUCAAAUCGAAUGACCGUAUCGAAUUGUAGUAAAAUUCAAAAAAAAAAAUUGAUAUUAUAGAAAUAUGAUCAUAUUGAAUUAAAUUUAUUUAAAUAUUUGAUUAUGAAUUUAAUUUUUUAUCCAAAACCGAAUCGAAACUAUAUUGAAAAAUUGAUUAUAUAUAUAUUUUUAAUAAUUUGAAUAAUAUUAUAAUUUUUUUUAUGUAGUCUUAAUAAAAUAUUUUAUAUUUUAUAAAUCGUUUCAAUAUAAUUAUGUAAAAAAAUAUUUUAUAUUUUAUAAAUCGUUUUAAUAUAAUUGUCUAAAUUUAUAUUACCAAAAUUUAUACCGUAAGUUUAAGGAUAAAUAUGCAAUUUAAAAUGAUUAUUUUAUUUUAUUUAUUAACAACCGAUAUAGAUUUAUUAUAAAAAAAUUAGCAAUGGAUCAAAUAAAUUAAUACAAGAAGUCAUGAAUACACGUCUUGAUAAUGAAAUUCACAUACAAAUAUCAAGAGAUGGUAAUAAUAAGGUUUUGUUUUCAAAUGUAAUUAAGCAAAAGAAGAAGAUUUCAUGAUGUUACGCUUGACAAACAGAUGGAUCAAGGUAUUUUAUCAUUAUGGUAAGCUAUUCACUUUUAUUAUAUCGAUGUGAAUUAAUAUCUAGCGAAAUAGCAAUAGAAAUUUUUUCAUAUAUUUAUAAUUCAUAAUUUAAUUACACAAUAUUUUACUUUAAAUAUAGGAGUUUGAAUCGGUAAGAAUGAAUUUUGGAAAGCCAAAUAUAAAAAAUUCAAGAAUUUUUGGACUAUUUUGAAAGUUAAUUUAUUUUAUUAUACUUACUUUUUCCAUUUAAUUUGAUAAGAUUUUAUUUGCAAUCAGUAAACGGUUGUCUUAUUAGUUAUGAUAAUUUAUUUUAGAAUUAAAAAAUAAUAACAAAUAUGAAUGAUUACUUAACCAUUAAGUUUAUUUAUAAUUUUCUUGUAAUAGUGGUCUCUAGUAAUAUGACAAUUUCUCUUUUUGAAAAAAUCAAUGGUUAAAUUUUCUCAUAGGAAAGUACUAUAGAUUACAUUUACACGCAAUAUUUAAAAUUUCUGUUUAAAUUUGGUUGAAUCUUAUGCACAUUUUUAUUUUCUUUUUAAGCAAUUUUACAUUUUAAAAUCUAUGAACUCGAAUAAUAUAAAUUGAUUGGCAUUAAAAAAACCUUUUAUAAAUGAUAAAAUACUUUUUUAAAAGUUUUUAUAAACGAUAAAAUAUUUAUUAUAUUGACUCAAAUAAUUUUUAGAUUCACAUUUUACUUUAUUAAAAAUUUUAAUUCAUAUUAUUUAGUAAUUUCAUGCGGAAUAUUAUAUAUAAUUUUAAUUUUUCUUAUUUUAUCCGAUCUGGGAUGGAAAGCCGAAAAUAUCACAUUUUCUCUCCAGAUUUUUAUACAUUGCUUCUUCUCUUUCUCCUUCUCUUCCCUUUUCCCCCUUUCUCUCUCACAAACGACCAGUUUAGAAGCUUCCUUCCUAUCAUCAAUAAGCAAAACCUGUGAACUUCCCAUGCAUUUUCAUAAAUUUGACUACAACCCUGAGGUGCCUAUAUAUGUAUAAAUCAAUGACCAAGGGUGCAUAUGCUUCUAAGGAAAUUUUAUAAGAGAAAAAAAUAAGUGUUAAGGAGAUAUAUAGCACAUCUUUAAUAUCUAGAGAUGGGUUGUUUUGGCAAGCGAAACUCUGAAAAGAAACAAAACCCAUAUCAAACACCUGCCAAAGGAACUAAUCCUCCUCGUCAAGCUCAUUAUGCUGGAGCUAGAAAAGGCAAAAGUCGCAGCAAACAUAGGCAUGGUGUUGGAGCAGGUUUUGCAGGUGCUAUUGCUUUUGCCACUGCAAAUUCAGCCGCUUCUAGUGGUGCUGGUGCUGGUGCUGGUGGUUGCGCUGUUUGAGGCUGUUGAGGAUUGUCUUUGCAACAAUUCAAUUUCUUCUUUAUAUAUUUAUUAAUUACAUAUCAUCUCUUGAGAUUCUAUUAAUUUGUCAUGUUUUUACUUGAAUUUCAGAAAAAAAAAAUUAUAGAAGGAAAUAAAAGGAUUGGC
rnacentral:lncRNA from 1 species